AAUAGCUGAACUUUUUAUUUUCUGCAGACCAUUGAGCGUGCGGCGCAAAAUACAAUAGGAACUUUAAACGCGUUUUUCUCAAAAUUACGUUUUUCAAACUGGGAGCAAGAUUUUUCGGACCCUAUUGCUUUCACAAAAAUUAGCGAGUUGAAUUCUGAAUGGAGUUAAUAUCAGGGCUGCCGAGCCCAACUCUGCUAAAUUUUGGUAAAAUUUUAGUAAUUUGGUAAACAAUUAUAUUUUUGGCAAAAAGUUAACUACACGAAAACCCUGUUUCUGCGUUUAUGCUACGCCAAAGACUGUGAAUCCAUCAACAUUCCCCAAAAACCGCUUUGGGGAAUAUCUUCGCGGUUACAAGAGCAACAAUAACGAAAUAUUGAUACGUUUAAUUGCGGUCGCCACACCGCAGAGAAUUUCAAGCCCUUCGAGUGUAUUUCUGGCAUGAAAUUAUGGCUCCUCAUAAACAACGAUCAGCCUUUCCGAGGCGGCUUAGAACAAACUGUAGGUCCACACCACAAAUUGGAGAAGGAGCUCGACCGAAAAUCGCUUCAGCGGUUACAAAGCAUACAAAUGUUCUUCUUGUUAAUGCCGAAAAACGUUCUUAAGUAUCUACAAAUGUAUCCACGAUAUAAUAAAUGCACAUACACAUCCAUAAAUGAUUUAAUGCUUUAUAUUAAUUAAAAGUGAGAUCGUGUCGUGCGUCAUAAUUCUUAUAUACAUUUAUAUGUACACAUAUGCACAUCUUCCGUUUAAAUGGUAUAAUUUUUAAGUUGCUGUGAGUUGCAGUGACAAGUUUAAUUUAUAAAUAAAUAUACACAUGACUUCGAAUUCGACUAAAAUAAAUCCCCACUGUGUUAAAUGAGAGAAAACUUAUCGCCCGUCUGUAACUUUCCAAAGUGUUCGCCAUGUUAAUGAAUUGAAUUUUUUAAACCCAGCAAAGUCAGCUACCCGGUGGGAUACAAUUUGUAUGACCUGAAAAUGAAAUGGGAUGUUAACUUUGGUUCGAAGCAUGUAAUUAUGAGAGGGAGAAAAGGCAGACCCAACAAGAUUUGAGGUCAGCAAACCAAAGUUUUACUAUAAAACCAGCGCCAUUAUGAAAUAAGAAAUCGUUACACAAAAAUACAUAGCAAACUGCUCAAUCAUCCGAACCCUUUGGUUAUCUCCUCGGCCUCCGCGACAAGUUUAACGCGCCUGAAGAUAAGGGACUUACUACCCUUGUAAAGAGCAACACUGAACCAGCGGUCCAUUCCUAGCCAAUGGACUAUUAUAUUUUAAUUUAGUUUUAAGAUUUGAAAACUUAUAAUGAAACUUUUGAUCUUGAAGCAGAUUCAGUGCUAAACCUUUGGAAACGCAUUUAGCAAAGAGUAAAAGAAAACAUCGCUUAUAUUUGAAGAGGGUAACACAUGGAAGUACUAAUCUAAAACGUGUCAAAAGAAGGCAAAGUUGCCAACUAAUUGAUAUUACAAACGUGCUUGUAGAACUUUUCAGCGCCGGUUAAGUUUCAAUGACUCUAAUC